CUCGUAACCACCAUCCUGCGCUGUACUUUCAUGCCUUCAGCUUUUUAGAUUCCACAUAGAUAACCGCUGGUAAGAGUUUGGCUUAUAUUCUUCUACAUUUUUUUCCCCACAAGAAACUGAAAUUUGAAUUUUCUUCUACAAGUGAGAAAAAAAAAAAGUAAAAUCUCUAACUGUCUUAGUGAUGAUAAUUCUGAGAAGACAGGCCCAUUGAGCCAAGUAGGAGGAUAGGUUUCCUGAGGAUGGAGAUGCAGAAAUAGUUGACUUUGCCUUCACGAAGCAUCCUGACAUUUUUAGAUGUGGCUACACUCUGUGGGCCGGAAGUCGAAUUCCCUGGAGGGCUAGAGCUCUCAGUAUUUUGGACAUAUGUGAAGUCAGCACAGGGGGCAGGCGGUAAGUUAACUUGAAGAGAAUUCCAGUUACAAAUUUAGCUCAGCUUCUAAAAAACACUCCCAUCGAAGAGAGAUUCCUGGUUGCUGUGGAACUGCGUCCCCUGUGGGAUUUUCCUUGUGGAGUUAACUAGACACAGUUGUUACUAGGUAGCGGGACAACAGAUUUGCUUAAGAUCUCUUCGAUUUUGACAGUUUGAUGAUGGGUGACUUAUGUGGUAUUGUGGACAUCUGUUGGCUUUAUAUUUUGCCUGCCAAGCAUCCAUACUUUCUUUUUUCUGGUAUCCAUACUCAAUUUUUCUUCUGGUUCACCACCUAUACCGGGUUGAAUAAUGCCUCCCUCCCCACCCCAAUUCAUGUCUACUCGGAAGCUCAGCAUGUGACUUUAUUUGGAAAUAAGAGUCUUUGUGGAUAUAGCUAGGAUGAGGUCAUCCUGGAUUAGGGGGGGUCCUAAGUUCAAGGACUGGUGUUACCAUGAGAAGACACAGAGAAGGAAGGAGAGGCAGAGACUGGAAUGAAAUAACUGGAAGGGAAAGAACACGGAGGAUCGGGAUUGUCAGCGCCUCCAGGAGCUAGGAGAGAGGCCUGGAACGGGCUCUGCCUCAGAACCUCCAGCAGGAACCAACUCUUUGGACACCUUGAUGUUGGGCUUCUGGCCUCCAGGACUGGGAGAAGAUGCAUUUCUGUUGUUUAAGUCCUCCAGUUUGUGGUAUUUGUUAUGGCAGCCCUAGCAAAUUAAUAUACCUCCCAUUUACCCUGUCAAAAUGAUCCGGGGGCUAGUCUCUGUUGUGCUGGGCUCCUAUUAACUUCGGUAGGGAAGGCAUUAGGUUCAGGAGGAUGAGGAAGAGACCCAGAGUCCUCAAAUGAGACAUGGGGUUUUAUUAGCAGGAAGCUUACAUACACAGUGGUCCAGUGGUGGUGGGCUGGGCAGGAGAACCACAACUGCUUCCAAAAGCAUGUGGUUUGUACAGCAUUUUCACCUAGCACCCUCCCUGUAACAAUCUCCACCUGGCAACCCUCGUUUAACUCAAAACAAAGGGCCUCAAUGUCCUGCACGGGCCCUUUACGUUCCAUGCGUCAGGCUGGGG
rnacentral:lncRNA from 10 species